rnacentral:lncRNA from 1 species
CCAGAUUUUACAGAAGAGCUAAUUGGAAAUCCACUCUUUGCUUCACAUUGGACCUGGGACUACCACCAUCUCUCAUUGCCAUGGAAGUCAAAGUUUUGCUUGGUGGUCUGCGUUCACUGGCCAUUACUUCCUGUGCUCACUGUGACCUGGCUCCAUUACAAACCUAAACACCCUUGGAUCUGGAACAUAUCCUAUAAUUGCAAUCUUUUCCCCAUGAAAGAAGCCCGUAGCGAGGACAAGGGUAAGGCGGCAAAGACCAGCCAGAUGACGACAGCAGUGGGGAGGUAAAGGCCCACAACCAUAUGCAGCGGGACCUGGGAGCCAGACCCACGGGUCACCACCACCAAGGUGAAGACCAGAUGGCGAGCGCCUGGCGAGCGCCAGACGAGCGGAAACCCGGAUCUCCGCCAGGGGGCGUACCCACCCAGGGCAGCCUAGCCUCCUAACUCCUACAGGUGUCAAUAAAGUCUUAAGCUAUUGUACUGCCUCA